rnacentral:tRNA from 1 species
GCUAGUGUAGCUUAAACAAAGCAUGACACUGAAGAUGUUAAGAUGAACCCUAAAAAGUUCCAUAAGCA